AAAAGAAACAUGGUAACCUUGGAAACCCUUCCCAGGUGUCUUCAGUGCUUCGCAGUCACCUGUCCUAUAACCGUCCUUACUGAGCAUUACUGAAGUUAAUGGAAUCAACUGAUUCAAAGGACAGACCUCAUCAGCUCCCAAUCUCUUGCAUACCAAUGAUAUGUAAAUGUGAGGAGAGAAGAGGGUAAAUAAAAUCACAUCCAAUAUCAUCAAAAAAAAAUAUUUUUUUUUUAAGAAGAAAGACAAAGGAGAGAAAAGUUUCUUCCACUGAGGAGGAAAAUGAACUUGGUGUCUGCCACCAAUGACAUCCACUUCAUAGAAUGCAAAGCACCAGUGCCAUAUUGUGUACAUCACAAAGCCUCCAGUGCCAUCAGACCCCACGGACUGCAGAGCCAUCAGUGCUGUCUGAUCACAAACUGCGGAGCCUUGGAGGACAUAGCUCUCCUUUUUGAGGUUCUGUUGUUGAGUGAAGAUGGGCAUAGUACAGCCUGACUUGAUUCAACUGUCUCAGCAUCAGUGGAUGGCGAGGGCCAGCCAGUGUUCCAGGAGAAGAUGGUGAAAGGCCCCAUAUCACCCUGAGUUAAACAGAGUUAAACAUAGCUAACGCCAUGCCAUUUUGUGAUGUACCACAGUUCUGGGAAAAAUAGUAAAGGCCGGAUGGGAACUAAAAAUUACUCUGAGAAAUCCAGCUAAGUCACCCCCCUCAAGAUAUCUGCGGUCAAGGCUGCCCCAACUGAGCAAAAAACAACUUUGUCCUGACCACCCUCAUGGGAUAUCUGACAGGUGGUCCAGCUGAGAUAGGAGUCCUGGGAAAAGCAACAUAUGGCGGCACUAGUCAAGGUCGUCAUAAUUGUUUUGACCACCCAGUUCCUGGAAUUCUGGUGUCCCUGCCAACCCUGAUUCAUGUUACGGUUUCAUGUGAAAGAGCCAAUCAGCUCCUUGUAACUAUGCUUCUCGCUUCUGUAUCAGUGCUUCUGUUCUAACCCUAUAAAAAACCCAGCUUUCCACCCGGAAAGGCGCGUAAAGUCAUCUGAGUGGCUUUCCGCCCGGGUACCCGUGUAUCCAAUAAAGCCUCUUGCUGUUUG